rnacentral:rRNA from 1 species
GACGUAGGGGGCAAGCGUUAUUCGGAAUUAUUGGGCGUAAAGAGCUCGUAGGCGGUUUGUCGCGUCUGCCGUGAAAGUCCGGGGCUCAACUCCGGAUCUGCGGUGGGUACGGGCAGACUAGAGUGAUGUAGGGGAGACUGGAAUUCCUGGGUGUAGCGGUGAAAUGCGCAGAUAUCAGGAGGAACACCGAUGGCGAAGGCAGGUCUCUGGGCAUUAACUGACGCUGGAGGAAGCGGAAAGCAUAGGGGAGGCGAACAUGGAUUGAGACUUACCUUGUCAGUCCAA